AGAGACCCGGAAAGCUCCGCAGACCGCCGUGGGUGCGACUGUGCGGCCUGGGGAGUGAGCCUCGCGCCACCGCCGCUGCAGGCCGGGGAGCCCAGCCGGGGGCACCCUCAUCCCAGGCUGACUGACGUCCCUGGCACCCAAAUGUCGCGGGGAGUGCGGGGCCAGGGUGCGCCCUCCCUCCUCCUCCAGCCAGUGAAACCCGGGACAGCGGCACCCAGCCCCAGGGCGGAGGCCGUCUCUGCUGCGCGCAGCGACGCACCCAGGCCCAAGGGCCGGGAGAUCCGCGGGGAACCCGGAGACCUGCGUCCCAGAGGGGCCGAGGGUUGCACCGCGCCCGCUCCCACGGGCCUCUUCCGAGAGGACGCUUCUCCCUCGUGUCCGCGGGAAGUCCUCGGAUCCUGGAUGAGAAAGAGCCUUCUCUCACCGGCUCCCAGACCCCGCGCUUUUUAAUACCUGUCCUUGCAGAGCGACUGGUCAUUUUAGGCCCGAGUCGAGCCUCUCUUGAUUAAUAAAUGAAUAUGGCUCGUUUUGUUUUAA
rnacentral:lncRNA from 1 species